rnacentral:tRNA from 1 species
UCGCGGGGUAGAGCAGUCUGGUAGCUCGUCGGGCUCAUAACCCGGAGGUCGCAGGUUCGAAUCCUGUCCCCGCUAU